rnacentral:rRNA from 1 species
GAUGAACGCUGGCGGCGUGCCUAAUACAUGCAAGUCGAGCGAACAGACGAGGAGCUUGCUCCUCUGACGUUAGCGGCGGACGGGUGAGUAACACGUGGAUAACCUACCUAUAAGACUGGGAUAACUUCGGGAAACCGGAGCUAAUACCGGAUAAUAUAUUGAACCGCAUGGUUCAAUAGUGAAAGACGGUUUUGCUGUCACUUAUAGAUGGAUCCGCGCCGCAUUAGCUAGUUGGUGAGGUAACGGCUUACCAAGGCAACGAUGCGUAGCCGACCUGAGAGGGUGAUCGGCCACACUGGAACUGAGACACGGUCCAGACUCCUACGGGAGGCAGCAGUAGGGAAUCUUCCGCAAUGGGCGAAAGCCUGACGGAGCAACGCCGCGUGAGUGAUGAAGGUCUUCGGAUCGUAAAACUCUGUUAUUAGGGAAGAACAAAUGUGUAAGUAACUAUGCACGUCUGGACGGUACCUAAUCAGAAAGCCACGGCUAACUACGU